rnacentral:rRNA from 1 species
ACUCCUACGGGAGGCAGCAGUGGGGAAUUUUGGACAAUGGGCGAAAGCCUGAUCCAGCCAUGCCGCGUGCAGGAUGAAGGCCUUCGGGUUGUAAACUGCUUUUGUACGGAACGAAAAGACUCCUUCUAAUAAAGGGGGUCCAUGACGGUACCGUAAGAAUAAGCACCGGCUAACUACGUGCCAGCAGCCGCGGUAAUACGGAGGGUGCAAGCGU